rnacentral:rRNA from 1 species
GUAGGGUGCGAGCGUUAAUCGGAAUUACUGGGCGUAAAGCGUGCGCAGGCGGUUUUGUAAGACAGAUGUGAAAUCCCCGGGCUCAACCUGGGACCUGCAUUUGUGACUGCAAGGCUAGAGUACGGUAGAGGGGGAUGGAAUUCCGCGUGUAGCAGUGAAAUGCGUAGAUAUGCGGAGGAACACCGAUGGCGAAGGCAAUCCCCUGGACCUGUACUGACGCUCAUGCACGAAAGCGUGGGGAGCAAGCAGGAUUAGAUACCCUGGUAGUCCACGCCCUAAACGAUGUCAACUGGUUGUUGGGUCUUUACUGACUCAGUAACGAAGCUAACGCGUGAAGUUGACCGCCUGGGGAGUACGGCCGCAAGGUUG